AUGAAAAUAUUCACAGAUUGGUCCUUCUACUUCAACCCCUCACAACUUUUCAACCGUAGAUCCGAUGGAGCCCCUUCGAGAAAGAACCGUCCGGGGUUUCGUUUUCACGGCUUCACCGCACUUUUUCCCGGAGUCUCCGUCACCCCCAGUUUGCAGGUCAUGCCUGGAUUGCUUGCUUGUUUGGUGUGGUUCCUGUGUUCACAAGCUAGGAUAAACGUUCCGUCCAUAGUCCCUGCGGAUUGGAGUCCAUCAUUGUCGUUCGUUGUUUUGUUUCCAAUAGUUGUUCCGCUGCCAGUUGAGGUUCCGCUGCCUCGAGUUGUUAUGCUGCUUGCAUAG
rnacentral:rRNA from 1 species